GGGGGUAGAUUCCAGGUGUAGCGUGAAAUGCGUAGAGAUCUGGAGGAAUACCGGUGGCGAAGGCGGCCCCUGGACAAAGACUGACGCUCAGGUGCGAAAGCGUGGGGAGCAAACAGGAUUAGAUACCUGGUAGUCCACGCCGUAAACGAUGUCGACUUGGAGGUUGUGCCCUUGAGGCGUGGCUUCCGGAGCUAACGCGUUAAGUCGACCGCCUGGGGAGUACGGCCGCAAGGUUAAAACUCAAAUGAAUUGACGGGGGCCCGCACAAGCGGUGGAGCAUGUGGUUUAAUUCGAUGCAACGCGAAGAACCUUACCUACUCUUGACAUCCAGAGAACUUUCCAGAGAUGGAUUGGUGCCUUCGGGAACUCUGAGACAGGUGCUGCAUGGCUGUCGUCAGCUCGUGUUGUGAAAUGUUGGGUUAAGUCCCGCAACGAGCGCAACCCUUAUCCUUUGUUGCCAGCGGUUAGGCCGGGAACUCAAAGGAGACUGCCAGUGAUAAACUGGAGGAAGGUGGGGAUGACGUCAAGUCAUCAUGGCCCUUACGAGUAGGGCUACACACGUGCUACAAUGGCGCAUACAAAGAGAAGCGACCUCGCGAGAGCAAGCGGACCUCAUAAAGUGCGUCGUAGUCCGGAUUGGAGUCUGCAACUCGACUCCAUGAAGUCGGAAUCGCUAGUAAUCGUAGAUCAGAAUGCUACGGUGAAUACGUUCCCGGGCCUUGUACACACCGCCCGUCACACCAUGGGAGUGGGUUGCAAAAGAAGUAGCUAGCUUCACGCAUUCGGGAGGGCGCUUACACACGUUUCGUAUGCAGAC
rnacentral:rRNA from 1 species